UAUUUCCAACACAAGCUUCAAAACACACGAAUUACUGAUUACCAGCUUUUACUCAACCCAGGUCCCAUUCUGUCACACAGACUCCAGGAGAAUGGCAGCUGCAGGGAGCGACUGGGCGGCCUAGUGGGGACGUGGCCUGCCCUGGACUCCUUACCUGCCCAAAGCGGCCUGUCACACGCCCCACGCGGUGAGAAGCGAGCGAGCGAUUCCCACAGCCCAAGGAGAGCGCAAGGACUGGUGGCUGAAGCGUCUGCAGCAGCCUCCCUCGACCCCGCCCCGGCGGUGACGUGUGCCAGCGUGACCAGGAGUCCACCUUCCUCAUCCUGGUUCUCCACAGAAAUGGGCAACAGAGGCCUGCUCCGGAGGAGAAAUUCGCCCAGCCUAUUUGAGUGCAAUCACGGAUUCAGGCUGUGCCAGAGAAAGCCAUUGGAUUUCCCAACUCGGCACACUAAGUGCUCAAUGAAAGCUCACCAAAUGGGGUAUUGAUGCCAUCGAAUGGACUGCAACAGAUGGAAUAUAAUUUGGAAAAACCCUUCUGCCAUCCAAAGAGACCUUUCCUUUCCUGAAGCUUCCCCACUGCAAGCAGAGGGGUUUCCAUGGAGUCUAUAGCAUACCAGAGCAUAUCACAUCGUCUACAGCAUAUAGCGUACAUAGCAUAGUAUAUGGCAUCGUCUGUAGCAUAUUAUAGCCUAUAGCCUACUUCACUGAAGACCAAGUAAUGUCCAUCUGCCUUGAAGUGGGGUUUUCAUGUGCAGCCAAAGAUAAUAAUAAUAUUGAGUCCUCUCACAACCUAAUGAGGUGCCAGUGUUAUGUCCAUUUUAUACAUGAGGAAACUCUGGCCCAGAGAGGUUAAGUAGUAACUUGCUGAAGACCAGGCAGCUAGGGAGGGCAGAGAAAGAACUCAGACUUAGCCCUCUGAAUAAACUAGGCACAGACAGGCAGGAGGCUCCAACCUCUGCACAGAAUAUUAUUCAUUUGGCUCAUCUUCUCAAUCCUGGAGGACCCUUGAGAGACAUGAAUGCAACACCACCUUCUGGAAUUACUGACAGAGGAAUUUCCUCCCUGUGAUGUCUCUUGCUUUCGUAUCAAGCUUCUGAGCCGUGCUUGGAGCUCCCUCGUGACGAGGCCAGGGCAAGUGUAACUGCAUCUAACAGGAGAAGGCAGAGGCACAGAGAGAAGUGAUACGGUGAGAAGUCCCCGGUCAAACCCAGGUUAUCCCUUACCCCAAACUCACUCCCAGCUCCAGGGCACGGCCCUGCUUCCUCCCCACCCACACCUGUCCAUGCAGCCAGCCCUGACAUAUAAGUGACAGCCCUAGACCUCAGGGAUCAAACCUUUCAGACAGAGUUCUUGACACCAGAUGGCUUUGGAGCGGGCAGGUAAUGGGGGAGGAUGAUUGUUGUGGGGAAUAAAGGACAAGGCCC
rnacentral:lncRNA from 1 species